rnacentral:rRNA from 1 species
AGAGUUUGAUCAUGGCUCAGAUUGAACGCUGGCGGCAUGCCUUACACAUGCAAGUCGAACGGCAGCACGGAGCUUGCUCUGGUGGCGAGUGGCGAACGGGUGAGUAAUAUAUCGGAACGUACCCUAGAGUGGGGGAUAACGUAGCGAAAGUUACGCUAAUACCGCAUACGAUCUAAGGAUGAAAGUGGGGGAUCGCAAGACCUCAUGCUCGUGGAGCGGCCGAUAUCUGAUUAGCUAGUUGGUAGGGUAAAAGCCUACCAAGGCAUCGAUCAGUAGCUGGUCUGAGAGGACGACCAGCCACACUGGAACUGAGACACGGUCCAGACUCCUACGGGAGGCAGCAGUGGGGAAUUUUGGACAAUGGGCGAAAGCCUGAUCCAGCAAUGCCGCGUGAGUGAAGAAGGCCUUCGGGUUGUAAAGCUCUUUUGUCAGGGAAGAAACGGUGAGAGCUAAUAUCUCUUGCUAAUGACGGUACCUGAAGAAUAAGCACCGGCUAACUACGUGCCAGCAGCCGCGGUAAUACGUAGGGUGCAAGCGUUAAUCGGAAUUACUGGGCGUAAAGCGUGCGCAGGCGGUUUUGUAAGUCUGAUGUGAAAUCCCCGGGCUCAACCUGGGAAUUGCAUUGGAGACUGCAAGGCUAGAAUCUGGCAGAGGGGGGUAGAAUUCCACGUGUAGCAGUGAAAUGCGUAGAUAUGUGGAGGAACACCGAUGGCGAAGGCAGCCCCCUGGGUCAAGAUUGACGCUCAUGCACGAAAGCGUGGGGAGCAAACAGGAUUAGAUACCCUGGUAGUCC